UGCUUGAGAAUGCUCUGGACACCUGGCUGUAGAAAGAAGAAUAGAAAUUGCGAUAACAAAAUCCUAAUUCUAAUAGAAUACUAACAAUGCUCUAAUUAGACUAUAAUAAUGGUAAAUAAAAGUAAUCAAAUUCAAAACAACUCAAAGAAAUUUCAAACAAACAAUAAAAUUCUUAAAGAAAUAUUAGAAUAAACACAAAUUUUACUCAAAUAUAUGUCAAUUCAACCUUAAUUUAAUUCUAGUUAAAAUCCUAUUGAAUUUCAUUCAAACUUUAGACCAAACCUAAUUAAAUCUUAAACCCUAAUAAAUACUAAAUCCUAAGUCAAAUCCUAAACAAACCUUAAAUUAAACCCUAAAUCAAACCCUAUUUCAAAUCCUACACCCUAAACCAAAUCCUAAAUCAAAUCCUAACUAAAUCCUAAAUCCUAAUCUAAAUCCUAAUCCAACCCUAAAUCCUAACUAAACCCUAAACCCUAAACCCUAAUCCAAACCCUAAUCCAAAUCCUAAAUCAAAUCCUAACCAAAUCCUAAACCCUAAUUCAAAUCCUAAUCCAAAUCCUAAAUCAAACCCUAACCAAAUCCUAAAUCCUAAUCCAAACCCUAAUCCAAAUCC
rnacentral:lncRNA from 1 species